CUUUUGACCAAUCAGAUCAGCACUGAAAAAGGAUCUGGGAUUGGUAAAAAUUAGUGGAAAAAUUUCAGGAUUGGGCUGCCUGUAAACGCAGCCAGAGGCAAGUGAAUAUAAGUCUGUUCUUGUGUUUGUAGAAGUUUGUAAGAAUUUGAGUGGUUACAUACAGUACAUGUUAAAUGGCUCCGAGACAUAAGGAGACUCUUGCUGUAAUCAAAGGGAAGGUACUGCUGAAGGUCCCAGUAUUCAGUCAGACAAUAUGCCUAGUCAGUAAAUUGGCUAAUUAAACACGCAUGUAAUGUACACACCAGCCAAACGAUACCCAACCAAUACAGCCUAGUAGUCUAUUUGCAGUGAAAUUGGGAGGGGCAUUUUCUUUCCAACUUUUCAGUCACUAAUUCAUCGAUAAAACAGGCAGUGGAAUUAAGUAGUUUGACAAGUGUUCAAAAGUAACAAGUCUUUAAAAUAUAGCUAACAAAUAAAUCGUUUUUUAUUUUCAAUAAACCUAGCUAACAUUAGCUACACUUCAGUGAUGGUGGAAGUUAGUUAGCUAGCUUUCCCCCAGUACUUUCAAUUUAGCUACAUCGCUAGCUAAGUAAUGGCAUUUAUAUCAACUUCACCAAUCAGAUGGUUCACUAGCAAAUAUAUUCGGUUUCCCCUCGCAUCUAAAGCUGCCCGAUAAAGCUUGCCAGUUGAUAGUAAAGCUAGGAUGAAUGUCAGAAACCAGCUAGCUAACCCAAUAGCGGCUGUCAAUGCAAUGGCUGGUCUGGAGUUCGUCUCAAAUGUACCAUUAUAUUUCACAUGAUAAGCAAACUACUGUCAUGCCUUUUCACAACAACAACAACAACAAAAAAUCGAUGUACACAUACAUAACAGAGACGAUUAUAAUCAAGUAUAUCGUUGUGGGUUUAUUUACUUCAUCCUCUCUUAUUCAUGUGGAUAGCUACUUCCUGAUGUUUGAUUGAAGGAACAGUUCAGCCAAUGGUUAGGCGACUGUGGUUUUGGAAAAGGGAACUGAUUGGUCAGGAGUAAAAGAUCCUGCCCCAGAGCUGCGCAAAUCGAAUUUUACUACUUUUUUGUUGUUGUAACUAACAAUUAACCUCUCAGUCUAUGUCGUUAUUUUUGUUUGAAUUGUUUACAUGUUCGCUAUGUGGGGGAAAUGGUAAAACAAGCGGAACUACGUGGCUAAGAACUGUUGUUAACGGGGAUUAUUAUCGUAGCAACACAUUUUUGGAGUGAAGUCAAUCCCACACUGUUAGCUAGGUUUUUUCGUGUCUUCGGGUGCACUUCGUAAAGGUUGAGCGUGUAUGUUAAGGUGGUAACGUUAUACUAAUUAAGGAUGAAGCGUGAAUUCAUGCCAAGAAUAAUAAGUGUGAAGUUUGAUUUCAUCCCUACUGUAAUAAACAGCCAAUGAGGUAUUUUAAUUUAAUUAAUGUGUUUAAUCUGAUACUGUUAUCUCCGGUUUAACAGUUUUUAUGUAUGUAAGCACUUCAGAGUUAUAUCAAGCUAAUAAGUCACUCAUAAGACAAAGUUGUAAGAGUGUGCUUAACUGUAUUUUUUAUUUACUUUAUAGUUUUCACGGAAGGUGAUAAUUCUGACUAAAACUACAGAAUAAAACCGCCAGUUAAAAUCAAGGAACAGUUGUGCUCGUGGUUAAUGGAGGGGGCUACACAGAACGUUCUACAAGUUUACAAAUCUCUCUUAAAAAAAAAAUGUUAGUUUACAAAUCUCUUGGUAACGUGACAACAGUGACUCAGAACGCGCAGAUUCAAAAUCUGCAAGUGUAUUUUUGAUUCACAGCAGAAUAUUAAUACUCGUAAAACAAUUUGUAAUCAUUUUGAAAAUAAAUUAUGCUUGCAAAACUUAUUGAACGUAUUAAAAAGUAAAUUGCAAGUUUGAGACAUGAUACAAGCUUGCACAUUUGCAAAUCGUACUUGCAACCACGAAAUUCAAAAUGCAAACUCACGUAGUUGUCAUUAUAAACCCAUACACAUUAACUGUAGCAAACAUUGCCACUCAAUAAUUUACUUACAGUCACACAAGUCAAACACUUAAAUGUGGCUUUAUUUAUACUGAUGUACGUCACCAUGUCACUGUGUUCAUCAAUGCACCAACUGACCAAAACAUACUCAAGUUUAAGGCCCUCUUCAAGUCCUCCUCCAGUCUCCCUUUUACCUCAUUUAACAGACGAUUUACUUAACAAAAGGCACAUCUCAAUAAGUGGCCUUUCCUCUUUUGUUCCUCGAGCAAGGGGAGGCUAAUGACGUCAAAUUUGACCAUCAUGCCAACUAUUGAGCAGUUGUGUCUAGAAAACACUAUUUCGCUCAAAACAUAUGUUUUACACUUUGGUGUGUGUACACUUUACUGUAUUUAUACUUGGGACAUUGUUUUUCAACAGGAAAAGUUUUUAAAAAUCGCUGGUUGACAUCGUAACUGUUUUUGUUAUGAAAAACCCCAGAGCUCAAACGCUUAUCUAUCAUCUGUGGUAUGGGAUCUUUACAAACAGCCCUUGACCUCAAUCUGUUUACAGUAAAUGCCUGGAAGGCUUCGGGUCUUGUGAUGACUGAGGUGAAAUAUUAAACAUGAACUAAGUGCACCUGUACUUGAUAUUCCAGAAUAACUGGUCUCUACAAACUGGGUAAGAGUGUUCAACAUUGUGUUUUUAACCAUAUACCCCUCCUUAACCCAUUGUUAACUUGUCAUUUGAAACAGGAUUGUAAAUACCUGUUUUUACGGAGACGGUAAACCUAGGCAGUUGAAUAUUUACAUGACUGUGGUGAUGUAAGCCUAGAUGGAAUAAAGUCAUUAUAUAUUUUUACAUUCUAGCUAACACAUUGUUCUUUCUAAACAAGUAUUCUCUGAGUAUCAAAGAUACUGCCCAUAAAAGGUCGUGAUUUGUUGUUGAUUUGUUGUUGACAUUUUGCACAACGUAGCAAAGCCCACUUCCGCUCAACUUUCUACCGGAUACAUAGCUUCCUGUCCCGAUCGCGUCCAAUCAGCCUGAUUUCAGCCAUACUAGCUCGUUUUAUCAUUAUCUCAGUAUAUUAAUAUGAUCAUAUUUCUAUAGUGUUCUUUUUAAUCAUUCUUGUUAAAUUCUGUUUAUCCUUUCAGUUAGUGAUUUUUGAAAAUCGAUUAUUGUGUUCUGUGUCUUUUUGUAUCUUAGCUAGCUACCUAUUAACUCGCUAACUAGUAAUGUCACUUACCAAUCAUGGCACUGUCUUACACAAGGCACUCGCAAGAGCUGCCAAAGAUAACAGUGAUGGAUGUACAUCGUCUGGCUCAGACAAGUAGCAAAGCACCGAACUCCAAGUUGGAAAAAGGAUUCAAACUUUGUCUCCAGUUACCUUUUCAACUAUGAAGGUUGUACUGAAGCCGGUAACAAUCACACAUCACUGUUCAUGUGUUGCUGGCACCUCAUUAUGCAACCACACAGUUGCGUUACUAUUCCAGUCUGCACACUAUUCCCGGAUGGGGACACCAGUCAUCCCACCUGUGCACGGAGGCCGAACAGCAGUGGCAUAAGCCAAGGACAAUGAAUAGUGCCCUUGUACUGUCUUUUUACAGGGUCUGCAACCUGGGCCCAUAGGCAAAAUGACCAUCACCUACCCCACCAAAAAGCGCACGGCAGAAGGAGGGAUUAGAAGUACUCUACAGCGCCCUUCUUGGACCACUCCCCGACCUCUCAGUUCUCCAGAUAGAAGAGGCAUACAAAAACUUUGACCCUCUAUCCAAGCCAUUGAUCUGCAGCAUGGGGAUGUCUGCUGAAAAGCUUUUAGUCGGCUCCCACUUUGGAAAGGUACAGGUGGGGAGCCUCCUGUCUUACCAGCAGCCUCCAAUCACAACGUGACACAUAGUUCACCAUAAGGAGACACCACCAUUCCCUUCACUGCCCCUGGAUGGCUACAGACUAGAGAGCGACUGUCAAGGCUGCACAUGUGUGCUCAGUGAAGACGACCAGCUUCACAUAGUCUCUUCAGGUGAGAGAAUACAUAAAGACCCAGUGGUGUUCUCACUAAUUAGAGAGAAGGGUACUACUUGUGUACAUGCAAAAGUUCUUAGGCAGGAAAGACUAAAUAACAAGGGAUGGGCUCCUUUAUCUUUCAAUUAAUGAAGGGGAAACAAAACAAAUCUGUCUGCAAUUAAUAAUAAUUUUUAAAUCAUUGUUACAUGUUUCUGUUCUCUUGUCACUGUAAAUAAAAACUC
ensembl:lncRNA